rnacentral:rRNA from 1 species
AUUCACUUUAAUUAAAAAUUAAAAUUACAUUCAAAUCCACAUUCAAAGUUCUAAUGCUAAAACUUAUCCUUAAAUAAAUUUAUUGUAAUCCAUCACUACUUUUAUAAUAACUGCACCUUGAUCUGAUUUCCAACACAAUUAUAUAUUAUAAUUAUAUAUUUCAAAAAAUAAUUAACAACGACGAUAUACAAAUAAAAUAAAAGUUGUAUUAAUCGUGAACUAUCGAUUACAGGACAGAUUCCCCUGAUUGGAAUAAAAAACCGCCAAAUUUUUUGAUUUUAAAGAACAUAGCUAAUAUUUCCCUGGUUUUUAAUAUUUAUGUAUAGAAUAAUGGGGUAUCUAAUCCCAGUUUAUUAUCUAGAUUUCUUAACCUCAUAAUCAAAAAUUAAAUUAAAUAAAAAAUAGGAUUUCACCCAAUAUUUAUAAAAAUAAAAAUUCAUUUUUAAUAAUUAAAUACAACCAAAUAAAAAUAAUCGUGUUAAUUGUUUAACCGCA